AUUGAAUGUGUUACCCAAGGUAACAACGAGAUACUGGUGUUAUUAUUGAAUACGUUACCCAAGGUAACAACAAGGUACUGGUGUUAUUAUUGAAUGCGUUACCCAAGGUAACAACGAAGGUACUGGUGUUUUUAAUUAUUGAAUGUGUUACCCAAGGUAACAACGAGAUACUGGUGUUAUUAUUGAAUACGUUACCCAAGGUAACAACGAGAUACUGGUGUUAUUAUUUGGUGUUAAGCGUUAUAAUCAGCACGACGUUAAAAUGUUUCUGUGACGUGCCUAUUUUGUAGUCUUAAGAGUAUUAUUAUAGAUCUGGUUUUUCCUUUAGGAAAAAUAUCUGAUAUUCCGAGUAUUAUUAUAGAUCUGGUCAUUCCCUAAGGACAAAUAAUCUACAUUCCGAGUAUUAUAAUAGAUCUGGUCUUUACUUAUGGAUAAACAUUCUAUAUUCCCAGUAUUAUCUUGUCUUUUCAUGAGAAAAAAUUAAAAGAAAUGUCAUUUUUAAUGAUUGACUUAAACUUAUCCUGCCCUCCGGAGUCCUACCUUUUGGUUGUUCUGGUUGAACUCACAAGUUCAUGACUUGUUCAAUAUUAUUUAUUAAUAAGUAUAGUUAGGCAAGAAGGUAAUGAUUUGAAGCUGUUUAAUGCUGAUUAACCUGCCGUGUGUGUGGCUUGUUAUUACUUAUUUUUUUAAUUUACUUUUUACUUUUUUAGGAGAAUUACUUUUCAGGGGAAUUAUUUUCAUGUAUCAACCGUCCAAGGAAAUAGUAGCACUGUUACAUAUUGUAACUUUUAUAAUGUGUUAUAGUGUACAACUAUAACUUUUGUAAUGUGUGAAGAGUGUACAACUAUAACUUUUGUAAUGUGUGAAGAGUGUACAACUAUAACUUUUGUAAUGUGUGAAGAGUGUACAACUAUAACUUUUGUAACUUGUUAUAGUGUACAACUAUAACUUUUGUAAUGUGUGAAGAGUGUACAUCUAUAACUUUUGUAAUGUGUGAAGAGUACAAAAUGUUUUGUGUAGAUCGAUGUUUUGAAUGUAAAGUUUAAUAACGGUUGCUGUUGUUUCAGUGAGAAUAUAUUUAUUUAUUUUAUGUUUGUAAA